CCUCCCCCUGGCCCUGGCCCUCCUCCCCCUGGCCCUGGCCCUCCUCCACCCGGCCCAUGGGAGUGCUCUGCCAGCAGGGGCGGUGGGGAGGCACAGGAAGAGGAUUUCCAGGCAGCCCCACGACUGGUGGACCGGGAGGCGGGGAGGCAGAGGAGGCCGAAGGAGUCCCACCCGCGCUGGCCUCUGUGGAACUUCCAGGCUCAGGGGGACGGAGGAGGAAAUCUGGCUUAAAAUGUCCUCAGGGCGGGAGCAACAGGCUGGAGCCGUAGGCUCCACACCCAGCCGUGCAGCCCAGCGUGAAGCCCAAGGUGGGGCUUGAACUCACAACACCAAGGUCACGACCUGAACUGGGAUCAGGAGUCCGGAUGCUUAACCAGGGGGCCAGGACGACGCUGAUUAUUCUCGUACUAAAGCAAACUUAAGUAGGCGGUUCCACGGCCACGGUUCAGCAGAGCCCCCCGAAUGUUCCCCACAAGACUUCCACCGUGGAGACAAUCCCUUGACGUCGAAAAUGAGGAGACGGAGCAGAAAGGGGCCGAGAGGGCCGGUCCUCGGCCAGGCGCCAGGCUGCGGGAGCGCCUCCCGUCCGUCCUCGUCCUCGGGAGUGGGGUUCGUGUCCAGAGAGGAAAGUACUCGGAGGAGCAGAUGCUGAAGUGCCACGGCCCAGCCCGGUGUCCCUGUCCCCGGAGCAGGGCCCGCGGCCUCACUCGGGCCUCAGCAGGGCCCCGGUGGCUCCUCCGACAGCCCGGACCUGAUGGGGGUGGGGGGGCAGUGGGGCAGCUCUCCAUCCCGGGGCCCGACGGGGGGCCCAGGUCUCCAUCCCGGGGCCUGACGGGGGGCCCAGGUCUCCAUCCUGGACCUGACAGGGGGCCCAGGUCUCCAUCCAGGACCCGACAGGGGUCCAGCUCUGAACCCGCACACCCUUUCCACUGUCCCCACAGCUAGUGGCCCCCGCGGGUCGCCCCGGGGCCCUUCGGCCUCCUGCUGCCUCCUUGUUCCCGGUUCCAACGGUGGCGGGGCCUUGGGCAGGGAGGCGGCAAGGACACAGGAUGUCGGAGGAGCAGGGACUCGACCCCAGGACCCCCGAGCCCCCGGGGCGCCCCUGUUCUAGGCCCUUUGUAUGAAUCAGCUGGACGAGAAGCCGUGGGAGAACCCAGGAGCCUCGGCCCGCCCGCCCGCUCGGGGCCACCAGGCCGUGGGUCCCUCUGCCUUCUGCGGAACCCUCCCCUCGGGGCUGCCUGCGCCUCCGCCCAGCUCACGACCGGCCUGGGGUGCAGCCCUAUGGGGCCCCUGCCCAGCGGGUGUUCCCUCCCCUCGCCCCCUCCCCAGCUCCUGCCCUCCCUCUCCCUCUCUCUGUCUCAAGUAAAAAAAAAUCCUUAUAAAAAAAGAGAGACUCCCUUAUUUACAUUAGGAAAGGCCCCCCACAGACAAACCUAAUACAGCCCCUAACCUGCCAGGAAGGCGGGGGCGCCGCGGGCCUCUCCCUCCCUCUGUUGCUCCCCGCUCCUGCCCGGCUCGCACGUGCUCUCGCUCGCUCCCUC